CGUAGAGAGUUUGAGUCCCUGGGCUCAGGAUGAACGGCUGGACGGCGUUGACUUAACACAUGCAAGUCGAACGGGGAUGCCAGUUUUUGAGGCGGUUAGUUUUACUAAGCGCCAAGAUGUCGGCAUCUUAGUGGCGGACGGGUGAGUAACGCGUGGUAACCUGCCUUAUACAGGGGGGAUAACACUUAGGAAAUAGGUGCUAAUACCGCAUAAGCGCACGGGGCUGCAUGGCCCAGUGUGAAAAACUCCGGUGGUAUAAGAUGGACCCGCGUCUGAUUAGCUUGUUGGCGGGGUAACGGCCCACCAAGGCGACGAUCAGUAGCCGGCCUGAGAGGGUGGACGGCCACAUUGGGACUGAGACACGGCCCAAACUCCUACGGGAGGCAGCAGUGGGGAAUAUUGGACAAUGGGGGGAACCCUGAUCCAGCGACGCCGCGUGAGUGAAGAAGUAUUUCGGUAUGUAAAGCUCUAUCAGCAGGGAAGAAAGAAAUGACGGUACCUGACUAAGAAGCUCCGGCUAACUACGUG
rnacentral:rRNA from 1 species